ensembl:lncRNA
CGGAGUUGUGCAAGUGUUUUUGUUUGUUCCCUGCAUUUCGAAGAUGCUUGUUUUACAAACAAGUCCCAGUUUGACGCCGGAUUUGCAAAGCGUUUAUUUCUUAAGGAUGAUGCAGUCCCAACGAAAAAUGGUCACGAUCGUGUGUUGGAAUCGCAGGCGCCAAAAACACCAUGAAGAAAUGAGGAGGUGAUUGAGAGAUGAAAAGGUGGGAUAAGAGCUGUAAAAACAGAGCGAGAGAAAAAGCAGAGAGUAUGGAUGAGUGUGAAGAGGAGGAAGUCAUCAUUUGAGCAGGUGACUCACUGAGGGGAGAGAGAAGUGCUGGUCCGUACCGAGGGUAAGUGGACAGGCAGAAGGGAUGGAGUAAUCUCAUGCUGCCGUAUCGAUUUCCAUGAUAUCAGAUUUGACCAGGAAGAAACAUAGUGAGAGGAGGAGAAACCAUGGAGAUCAUGACCUCUGGGGUCAGAAGAGAGGUUAGAGGAG